rnacentral:rRNA from 1 species
AGGACGAACGCUGGCGGCGUGCUUAACACAUGCAAGUCGAGCGGAAAGGCCCUUCGGGGUACUCGAGCGGCGAACGGGUGAGUAACACGUGAGCAACCUGCCCUUAGCUCCGGGAUAGCUCCGGGAAACCGGAAUUAAUACCGGAUACGACCACGGCCGACAUCUGCUGUGGUGGAAAGGAUUCCGGCUAAGGAUGGGCUCGCGGCCUAUCAGCUAGUUGGUGGAGUAACGGCCCACCAAGGCGACGACGGGUAGCCGGCCUGAGAGGGCGACCGGCCACACUGGGACUGAGACACGGCCCAGACUCCUACGGGAGGCAGCAGUGGGAAUAUUGCGCAAUGGGCGAAAGCCUGACGCAGCGACGCCGCGUGGGGGAUGAAGGCCUUCGGGUUGUAAACCCUUUCAGCAGGGACGAAGCGAAAGUGACGGUACCUGCAGAAGAAGCGCCGGCUAACUACGUGCCAGCAGCCGC